GACGAACGCUGGCGGCGUGCCUAAUACAUGCAAGUUGAGCGCUGAAGGUUGGUACUUGUACCAACUGGAUGAGCAGCGAACGGGUGAGUAACGCGUGGGGAAUCUGCCUUUGAGCGGGGGACAACAUUUGGAAACGAAUGCUAAUACCGCAUAAAAACUUUAAACACAAGUUUUAAGUUUGAAAGAUGCAAUUGCAUCACUCAAAGAUGAUCCCGCGUUGUAUUAGCUAGUUGGUGAGGUAAAGGCUCACCAAGGCGAUGAUACAUAGCCGACCUGAGAGGGUGAUAGGCCACAUUGGGACUGAGACACGGCCCAAACUCCUACGGGAGGCAGCAGUAGGGAAUCUUCGGCAAUGGACGAAAGUCUGACCGAGCAACGCCGCGUGAGUGAAGAAGGUUGUCGGAUCGUAAAACUCUGUUGGUAGAGAAGAACGUUGGUGAGAGUGGAAAGCUCAUCAAGUGACGGUAACUACCCAGAAAGGGACGGCUAACUACGUG
rnacentral:rRNA from 1 species